GAAAUGUUGUUUUAUAUAUUUAUUUACGUACUUUGGAUGGGGGGGGGAGUACAACAAAUCAAUAAGGUUCACAGGGCAGCACGUUAACGACAAGUCACAGGAGGCGGCUCCAUAAAGGUUCUGAAAACUAGUCUCUCAUUGCAGGAAUUGGAUUGGGUUCCCCCCGUGACCCCCCUUCUCAAACACAAAUAUUUUCAUAUAAUAAAAGCCUGCUUCCUUAUAACCCACCCUCCGUUCCCGCGACGCCACCAUUUUAAAAGGCUUUGCUGCGAGGACUCUUCCCAGUUUUUCAGGUUUUUAAUCUCUCCAGCAUUCUAUCUUGUAGAGGUGAAGAAUGUCCCUGGGGUGUCACUCUGGGUGAGAGGGACAAGAAACACCCACUAGGACCCAACCCGGCAGCCAGCGGCCGAGCAUGCGCUGAGAGUUUGUGCAGCUGGCCCUGGCUGCUGCCGCUGCUGCCUUGUCCGGACUUGGCGAGGACUUGGGAGGGACAGCGGCGUUGGGAGGUGGCUUAGCAGAGACUUUCCAGCGACUGCUGCCCAGGAUUUUUUUUUUUUUUUUCUUCCCUUUUCUUUUUCCCAGGAGUCAGCGACGGCGACGGCUGGGGAGAGGAAGGCGAGCAAGCGUCUGCUGUUGGAGCCAAUGCAGCCCUUUGGCUCUCCGCGAGGAGCGUCUCUCCCCGGAUGAGUGUCUGCCUUGUGUCCCCGAGUGUCCCCCCGCAGGAGCGCAGCUCGAACGGUGAGUGGCCACAGGUCCCGCAUCUCUCCUACCCACGGUCCCUGCCGCCAGCCGGAGCGGCUUCUACCCAGCGCGGUGCGACCUGCCCGGGGCGCGCGGCCGC
rnacentral:lncRNA from 1 species